rnacentral:ncRNA from 1 species
AGAUUGACGGGAGCGGCGGCCCCGGGAUACGUUCCGGGUGUUUUGUGGCGGCGCGGGGGAAAUCCGGUGAGAUUCCGGUGCGGUCGCGCCACUGUAACCGGCCCUGUGGGGACGGAAGCCAGGUCACCCGGCCGCCACCGACCUACGAA